UACAGAGGUCCCAAGCGUUGUUCGGAUUCACUGGGCGUAAAGGGUGCGUAGGCGGUCGGGUAAGUCUGAUGUGAAAUCUCACAGCUUAACUGUGAAACUGCAUUGGAUACUAUCCGGCUCGAGGAAUGGAGGGGAGACUGGAAUACUUGGUGUAGCAGUGAAAUGCGUAGAUAUCAAGUGGAACACCAGUGGCGAAGGCGAGUCUCUGGACAUUUCCUGACGCUGAGGCACGACAGCGUGGGGAUCAAACAGG
rnacentral:rRNA from 1 species